AGAGUUUGAUCAUGGCUCAGGACGAACGCUGGCGGCGUGCCUAACACAUGCAAGUCGUACGGGAUUUGGGGGCAACUCCAAGUUCAGUGGCAGACGGGUGCGUAACACGUGAAGAACUUGUCCGGUGGCGGGGGAUAGCCGGCCCAACGGCCGGGUAAUACCGCAUACGCUCGCGCGACGGCAUCGUUGCGCGAGGAAAGCAGCCGCAAGGUUGCGCCGACGGAGAGCUUCGCGGCCUAUCAGCUAGUUGGCGGGGUAACGGCCCACCAAGGCGACGACGGGUAGCUGGUCUGAGAGGAUGAUCAGCCACAUUGGGACUGAGACACGGCCCAGACUCCUACGGGAGGCAGCAGUGGGGAAUAUUGCGCAAUGGCUGCAAGGCUGACGCAGCGACGCCGCGUGUGGGAUGACGGUCUUCGGAUUGUAAACCACUGUCAGGGGGAACGAAUACAGGGCGUCGAAUAGGCGACCCUGGGUGACGGUACCUCCAAAGGAAGCACCGGCUAACUCCGUGCCAGCAGCCGCGGUAAUACGGAGGGUGCGAGCGUUGUCCGGAAUCACUGGGCGUAAAGGGCGCGUAGGUGGUUCGAUAAGUCGCUGGUGAAAUUCCGGGGCUCAACUCCGGAGCUGCCGGCGAGACUGUCGGACUUGGGCACGGUAGGGGCAGAUGGAAUUCCCGGUGUAGCGGUGGAAUGCGUAGAUAUCGGGAAGAAUACCAGUGGCGAAGGCGUUCUGCUGGGCCGUUGCUGACACUGAGGCGCGACAGCGUGGGGAGCAAACAGGAUUAGAUACCCUAGUAGUCC
rnacentral:rRNA from 1 species